rnacentral:rRNA from 1 species
GAUAAACGCUGGCGGCGCACAUAAGACAUGCAAGUCGAACGGACUUAACCGAAAUGUUUACAUUUUGGAGCGGUUAGUGGCGGACUGGUGAGUAACACGUAAGCAACCUGCCUAUCAGAGGGGAAUAACAGUGAGAAAUCACUGCUAAUACCGCAUAUGCUGUGAGUAUCGCAUGGUACAAACAGGAAAGGAGCAAUCCGCUGAUAGAUGGGCUUGCGUCUGAUUAGAUAGUUGGUAGGGUAACGGCCUACCAAGCCGACGAUCAGUAGCCGACCUGAGAGGGUGAUCGGCCACAUUGGGGACUGAGACACGGCCCAAACUCCUACGGGAGGCAGCAGUGGGGAAUAUUGGGCAAUGGGGGAAACCCUGACCCAGCAACGCCGCGUGAAGGAAGAAGGCCUUCGGGUUGUAAACUUCUUUUACCAGGGACGAAGAACGUGACGGUACCUGGAGAAAAAGCAACGGCUAACUACGUG